rnacentral:rRNA from 1 species
UACAGAGGGGCAAGCGUUAUUCGGAAUUAUUGGGCGUAAAGGGCGCGUAGGCGGCCUGGCAAGUGGAAGGUGAAAUCCCUCGGCUUAACCGAGGAACUGCCUCCCAAACUGCUUGGCUUGAGACCGGGAGAGGUGAGUGGAAUUCCCAGUGUAGCGGUGAAAUGCGUAGAUAUUGGGAGGAACACCAGUGGCGAAGGCGGCUCACUGGACCGGUACUGACGCUGAGGCGCGAAAGCGUGGGGAGCAAACAGG